UCUAGUGAUGAUGGCGGAGAGGCCACACCUGUUUCCAUCCCGAACACAGAAGUUAAGCUCUCCAGCGCCGAUGGUACUUGGACCGCAGGGUCCCGGGAGAGUAGGACGUCGCUAGGC
rnacentral:rRNA from 2 species